rnacentral:tRNA from 1 species
GCGCUCGUAGCCUAGCCUGGAUAGGGCGUCGGCCUUCUAAGCCGAAGGUCGCGGGUUCAAAUCCCGCCGAGCGCA